rnacentral:lncRNA from 1 species
UAAUUUAACUUUGAAUUUAAAAAGCAUUUAUCACAUACUUUGCAUUCUCAUAACUAUGAGGGGAUGCUUACCUACUUACAAAAAAAAAAAAAAUAUACAAACAAACAAACUUAUAACUGUAAGGGGAUGCUUCCCUCCUUAUGCAAGAAUACUCAUAAUUUAUCUAGAAUUAUAAUCAUCCAUUGCAUACUGCUCAUACUUGGCAUUAACAACACAAUUUCUUGACAAGUUACUUGAAAAAGUUGUACCUGUUACUCUAGAAUCAGGGCAAAGGAAGGCUAGUGUGGUCCUUUAGAGUUUCUGAAGAAUCACUUGGGCUCAUGGGUAUCCUUUUGAGCAACCCUUCU